CUUGGACUCUUUUUCUUCUAUCUCUCCUAAUAUGUGCCUAAACUUAUCUCUCUUAUACUUAUUUAUGUUGGUUAGCCAUUAUUUCUUAUAAUUUCUUCUCCUUCCUAUGUUGCAUUAUUAUCCUUUUCUCCUUCUAUUUGUAACUUUGAUGCCUUUUAUUUCUCUCUUCCUUCUUGUCCAUAACCUCUGGAUGAACAUUCCAACAAGAACUUUCAUCAUGUCCUUGUAGACAACACUCUUUGC
rnacentral:lncRNA from 1 species